UACGAAGGGGGGCUAGCGUUGCUCGGAAUCACUGGGCGUAAAGCGCACGUAGGCGGACUCUUAAGUCGGGGGGUGAAAUCCUGGAGCUCAACUCCAGAACUGCCUUCGAUACUGGGAGCCUUCGAGUUCGGGGAGAGGUGAGUGGAACUGCGAGUGUAGAGGUGAAAUUCGUAGAUAUUCGCAAGAACACCAGUGGCGAAGGCGGCUCACUGGCCCGAUACUGACGCUGAGGUGCGAAGCGUGGGGAGCAAACAGG
rnacentral:rRNA from 1 species